rnacentral:rRNA from 1 species
UACAGAGGUCUCGAGCGUUGUUCGGAUUCAUUGGGCGUAAAGGGUGCGUAGGUGGCGCCGUAAGUCGGGUGUGAAAUUUCGGAGCUUAACUCCGAAACUGCAUUCGAUACUGCGGUGCUUGAGGACUGGAGAGGAGACUGGAAUUCAUGGUGUAGCAGUGAAAUGCGUAGAGAUCGUGAGGAAGACCAGUGGCGAAGGCGGGUCUCUGGACAGUUCCUGACACUGAGGCACGAAGGCCAGGGGAGCAAACGGG